rnacentral:rRNA from 1 species
UAGAUUUCUUCGGAAUGAAGUUUUAGUGACUGAGUGGCGGACGGGUGAGUAACGCGUGGGUAACCUGCCUCACACAGGGGGAUAACAGUUGGAAACGGCUGCUAAUACCGCAUAAGCGCACAGUACCGCAUGGUACAGUGUGAAAAACUCCGGUGGUGUGAGAUGGACCCGCGUCUGAUUAGCUAGUUGGCGGGGUAACGGCCCACCAAGGCAACGAUCCAUAGCCGACCUGAGAGGGUGACCGGCCACAUUGGGACUGAGACACGGUCCAGACUCC